GAGAAGCCCCAGAAAGCUUCAUGGUCACGCCACGUAUGGGAUGCUCGGCAGCUGCCCUGGCUGGGAUCUAACAACAGGAAGCCAGCGGACCUCACGGGGCCAUUCCCAGGCUUAGAUUGAAGGGAAUCUAAGUUCGGGAAAACAAUUGGUACAGGAUGUGCAGCUUGAAGAAGCUGAGGGGAUGAGUAUACUAAAUAUGCCACACUGUCUGCACCAUGCCAGGUAGUCUAGUAUGUAUUGGGUUCCAUUGAGACUGAUGCUGCAUUGAAUUCUGAUGAUACAGUUCGCUGCGCUUGUCCACUCUGGUCUGUAGGAGAAUUGCCACAGUCUUAUGAAUAUAAGGCUGGGUUUG
rnacentral:lncRNA from 10 species